UUAUCUCUAAUGACAAGUUCAAGGCUGCCGAACACCGAGUGUUGGCUAAUUGUGCUGGACCUAGAUUGUCAGUGGCAUGCUUCUUCACAACACAUUUUGAGCCAUCCGAGAAGCUUUUCAGCCCCAUAGAGGAGUUGUUAUCAGAUGAUAGUCCUACUUUGUAUAGGGGCACCUCUGUAAAAGACUACAUUGACUUCUUUGCUUCAGCCGGACUUCCAGAUGACUCAUCACUCUCUCGUUUGAGGUUGUAAAGGUGGAAUUACCUAGGUGGUGUGUGCAUGCCGAUGCAAAUCUCUGCGAAAAUUCAGUAUUCAAAGAAAUUAUACGAAAGUUGGAGGACAUAUUUAAAACACGAACGCUAAGGCAGCCUUUUCAUCUCUCUCUUCUCAGGAAAAUGGUCUUUCCUUCUACCAUUUUGACAUCGUCAAUGUAAUGUCUAUAUUUGGAUUUCCAUUGUUUAUAUGAAAUGAAAAGGACUGUUUGGAAUAAGUGUAAAUCUAUAAUUGUCACCCUUUAUAUACCUAUACUGUCAAGGAUGUUUUUGAAUGGGUUAACAAUUUCUUGAUAUUGAAUGCAGCAGAGUUGUUUGUGUUAACAAUUUCUUGAUAUUGAAUGCAACAAAGUUGUUUGUGUUAACCAUUUCUUGAUACUGAAUGCAACAGAGUUGUUUGUCAUUUGUGGGAUAAAUGGAUAUGCACUAAGACUGCCAUGAAAGCAGCGCUGUUGUCAGCUUAAGAAAAGCAGUGCCCUGAAGAAAGGAACUAACUGCAAAAAGAAAGAAACAACCUCUUGCAAAGUUUUAUUUUUGUUUUUAAUAAUGGCCGAGAAAAGGAAUUGCAGCCCCCUAAAAAGCUGAAAUGGCUUGUGAUGAGUCACAUAUAGUGGGUACAAAUAGGAGAAACAAAUUCUUUGGAAACUUUCAAAAGAGUGAUGAACAUCUAGUAUUAAAAACCUGUCAGGGAUCUGAGCUGAUCUACUACUUGUGGUGAAAGCAGAUAACGAUAAGCUAGAACUCAAUUUCUAGUCAGUGAUAGCAAACAGAAGGUGUUUCUGGUAUUUGCUAAUGUUUUGCAGUCAUAAUAUAUCAAAUUUUUUCUUGGCAUUAUUAAGUCAAAAAUCUGCAAUUAUGUCAACUGAUUAACUAGAUCGGGAUAAUCUACUAGAAUCUUUGUUUUGUUUUUUAGAGAUUUGAUGACGGUUGAGUUUUAAAGGAAAUCUAAUUAUGAGUUGAUCAGAUGAAAAACAAAACUUGUUUCAAUCCUAAGCCUACAUUGCGGUGGAGUUAGAGGCAUAAUUCCUGGGACAAUUCUAGCCUUCUUCGAAUCCCAACUACAGGUUUGGUUGCUCAACUUUUCAUGCUUUCUUUAACUCUUUAUAUGAGACCAAAGCUAAGAAUGUUGACUGAAACAUUUCAACUGACAAUUGAGAUCUAUAUAUAUUUAUAUAUAUUCCUGCUAUAAUAUUAGCUCACAAUUUUCGUUGCACAGAAGCUUGAUGGUGAAGAUGCAGGGAUGUUGGCUACCUUGAAUUUCAUCUUGGGGACUAAUUUCAUCUGGAGGCCUUGCGACUGGUAUGCUUGCAACACCAAAUGAAAACAAUAGACCAAUUGUUACAGCAAAAGAAAUCAAUGAGUUUUAUUUUCAAGAAAGUCCGAAAAUUUUUCCUGAGGAACCUGAACAAGGCAACCAAUUUCUUCAAAUGUAGAUAUCUACCAUGAGGAUGAAUAUUUUAUUUCUAUCUUGGAAGGAUAAGUUUUGAAAAAGGAGGAAAAUUUCUUCAAGGGUAAGCAACUGACUUUGCUUGAGCUGGCAUGAUGCAAUAACAAGUGGGGUGAAAUCAAAGUGGGCAAAUUAUGGAAGGCCAGUUUAUCAAUCAGCUGAUGGUUUCAUACAAUGGGUAGAAAAAGAAGCAUUUUGUCUCUUUUGUUUUUUUCCCCUCCUUUUCAGUGGAGAACAGCUGCAUGAAUGAAAGGCAAAAGGAAAGAUAUUAUUUUAAUUUUGUUUAUAGGAUUUAUUUAUUUAUUAUCUUUAACCAUGUCUCGGUCUUAGAGCAUUUGAGCAAUUCUAUAUGUUUUAUGAUCGUGCAUGCUAAAUUAAUGUUAUAAAAUAUAGCAUCGUGGUUUGGAUAUCAUCUUUUAAUAAUAAAAUGAAUUUUGACAGAUUUUUUAUAUAAUAAAAUAUUUUGAGUUUUGUGGUAAGAGUACUAUUUAAUAGUUUUGGAGACUUGGUUUAAAUUCAAUAGUCACUUAAUUUUAUUUUUUAAAUAUUUUGUGGAAAUUACUUAGAAAAAUAAAGAUGGUUUCAUAAAUGCGGCCACAAUUAGUUUCAUCAUUUAAAAUGAAUAAUUUGCUACUAUUUAUUUUUUAAAAUUUAAAAGAAUACAACAAAAUUUGACUUUUGAGAUUUUAAAUGUGUUCAAGUAAACAGUAAAAACAAAAAAAUUAAGCACUCCAAUUUAAAUUAAAAAUUUUUGAAUUAAACUCUCUAAUUUAAGUAUUUGGGUAUGCCACUAGCCAACUUGUCCAUGUACUCAUCAUGUAAUGGACACUGGUGCUCACUAGAUCAUCUUUAAAUUAAGUAUCUUUCAUAAUGUAUUUCAAAUUCUUUUAUGAUGUGGUUUUAUUUAAAAAGCUAAUAACAAUAAUAUACAAAGCAUUAUUUAGAAAGCACUUUUAAUUUAUGUAUAAUUUUUUCCUUAUGUUCUGGUGAUGUAAAUAAUAGGGAGAAUGUAUGUUUCAUCCCUAAAUAGAUAUCAUAUUUAACAAUUACAUCCCUAUUAGAUUUUUAAUUAUCCAUUUCAUCCCUCAUGUUAAAAGAUAAUAGAAUUAAUUGUGAAACUAAGGGCAAAACAAUCAUUCAAGGGUUUGGUAUUUUAAAAUUUAAAUUAAAACAUAACACCAAUCAUUGGGAUUAGGAAAAAAUGAAAAAAGUAUGUGCUCUUUUGGUAAUUACAUAGGACUAAUUUUUUUCAUCUUCUAUUUAAUUUUGACACAACACUACUUAGAAAUGUCAUAAAAUCCUCUUAGGAGAGGUGGAAUAAUAAAUAAACAAAAAAAUAGUUAAUUUUAUGUGUUUUUCUUAAUGAAAAGGAUAAAAUUAAUAAUAAAAAAUCCAAUAAAAAUAUAAGUAAUAAAUAUAACAUCUAUCAAGAAUAAAAUAUACAUUCUUCCCGAAUAAUAUUGGAUAAUUUGAGUAAAUAUAAUAUUUUCAUAUAAAAAUAAAAUAGUAGAAAGGGGUGUGGCGUUGGUGGUGUAGGCUUGCUUAUAAUAUUUACAUAUCAAAUGUUUUGGAGAUUCAAACUGAAGCAUUUGAAAGUCUUUGGAAGGUGAAAGUUCGACCAAUAAACUAAUUCUGGUCAAUAAAGUUUCCGUGUACAUUGGUUAGGAAUGGCAAUUUCUGGGUUUGGGUCUAGGUUCGGCCUUUCCGGAUCCAAACCCAGCACACAAUUCUCUAUACUGGACCUGAAUUUGAACUCGAUUUUUUCAAUGCAAGUCUGGGCCGGGUUCAACUGGGAAAAAUUUGGGUUUCCAUGUUUCGGGUUUUGAACCCAGAUUGCUUAAACUAAACUUGUUAUGGAAAAAAAUAAACUUGUUCUAGAAAAAAUCAAAUACAAAUCAUAUGACAUAUCCAGGUUCUAAAACAAUUACAAUACAAAAUAUAGAAUCUAAAAUUCAAAGUUCCAAAGCAAUAAACAUCCACAAAUACAAAUCCAUAAUAUAAAUCUACAAUUCAAAGUUCAAACUUCAAACCACUAAUCUAAAGACUAAACUCUCAAUCAUCUACUUCAUUUGACUGUUGCUUACUCAUCAAACUUUCAUCAAUCAAAUGCUCCGCAGAAAGUAUUGCUUCCUCUAGAAUUCCAUCUAAAAGAAAUGCAUAAAUCAUAAACAUAAUGAACAAGACAACUAAUUAGUGGUAAAUUGAUAAUAAAAAUAAUACAACAAAUUCAUUUGAUUAUAAUCAAUCAGAACUACUCUGCCGCCACCAUCUCGUUUUUGUGAAGUGACAAGAGUAGUAUUACCCCUACGGCCAUGGCUAUUGCUACUCCUUCAAAUUGCUGCUGUUGAAUUUAGUUCUAAUUCAACAGUUGUAUCAUCAUUAUUUUCUGCUUCUGUCCUUAACCUUGCACACACACACUUUCGUCACUCUUUUCAGAGACAUCUAGACCGAUUCUUUGUUCAUUUUCCAUCAUGAAUUUGUCACCACACAAAAAUUAUGUCAAGACAUAAUUAGUUCCAUAAUUAACAACUAAUCCAGCAACUUCUUCCAAUUUAUAUGCUAUUUUUAACUGUAAAAACUAUACAUAUUUUGAAGAUAUCAUUUCAAUUCUAUUAACAACAACAAUAAAAAAAUAAUUAAAAAAUAAACUAUAAAUAAUAAAAUUGAAGCAUAGCAGAGCAUCGAUAUUAAAACCACAGAGUAUAGAUAUUAAAGUUGCAAAGAGAGUAUAAAUAAUAAAAUCAAAGCAUAAUAGAGCUUAAAUUGCAAAGAGAAAGGCCAAGACUCACAAGUAUUCACAAAGGCAACUUAUGAAUAUGAUGAUGAACACAGAACACAACUGUGAUCAAGGCGGAUUUCACCCCGUUUUACGGGUCGCGACAGGGAAGGCUGGUAUGCUGAGAGACAAACACAGCCGCACCACGAAGGUGGUGACAGCCGAGGUGAUGAGGACGAUGAUUAAUCUGAUUUGAAGAAGAGAAUUAGAGGAGAACUAAAGAGAGAGAGAGAGAGAGAGAGAGAGAGACUAAUAGAGGAAAUGGCAUAUUGGCAGCCGCGGCAGCAGGGAGUGUUACACUAGCACUAUUAAGGAAUCAUUGUAGUCAACCUUUGCUUGAUUGUAUAUCAUCUAUUUUUGGUUGUAAAUAUUUUAUUCUUGGAUAGUUACAAUAUUCUAGAAAGCUAGCAAUAGGUGAAUUAUUUAUUUCCCUUUCUAUUAUUUAUUUCCUUUUCUAUACAAACAUGUAAACUGUAUAAAUUGUAAUUAUAUUGUUCAAUGAAUACUUGUCAAGCUAGUUUUCCCAAAUCUAUAUUAUUCUCUAAAACCUUUCAUGGUAUCAGAGCCUCUAUAGAACUUUCACAAGUUCAAUUCUUUAUCUUUCACAAUGGCCGAUCCUUUAAAAACUCCAUACACUUCUAGUUCACCAACUUCCUCUUCCAACCAAACCUCUCCAAUCAUCGUCAAUCCUCUUGACAACAAUUCCUCUCUUAUUUCAAUCAACACAACCACUCAAAUAUCCAUCAAACUUACCUCCUCUAAUUAUACCUCUUGGCGAUUUCAAUUUCAUGCUAUACUUAUAGGAUAUGAUCUUAUGGGAUUCAUUGAUGGGUCCAAACCUUGUCCCUCUCCAACCAUCACUACCGAAACUGACAACAAGCCUAAUCCAGAUUAUUCGCUUUGGAUUCGGCAAGAUCAAUUAAUUCUUAGUGCCAUUGCCGGGUCUAUUUCUCCCAAUCUUGUUCCAUUUAUUGCCUCUGCAAAAACAUCACAAGAAGCAUGGACCAUUCUAGCCAAUACCUAUGCCAAACCCUCACGAGGACGUCUCACACAAUUAAAAGAGGAUCUUCGUCUAAUUCACAAAGGCACACAGACAAUUACUCACUACCUCCAACAUGCCAAAACCAUUGCUGACGAACUUGCUAUGCUUAAUGCUCCCAUUGAUAAUGAGGAUCUCAUAUUAAAAAUCUUAGGUGGCCUUGAUGAAGAUUACAAAGACCUCUGCUCAGCCAUCCGUGUCCGUGACAGCCCUAUUACGUUUGAUGAACUGCAUGAGAAACUCAUCAAUUUUGAAGCACAUCUCAAGUAUGAAGCACGAAAGAAAGCUAAUCUCUCCAACAUGCCGGUUCCGCCAAUCCAGUUCAAAAACCCUUUCACAAUCCACUUAAAAACCAGCCCCAAAAUCGUCCCUUUAAUCCACCUUAUCGUCCACCUCUCUUUUCACAUAAUCGGCCACCCUUCUUUUCACACCCACACUCACCUUCACCUUCCCCACUUCCUCCUACUCAACCUCGUCCCUAUCUUGGUAAGUGUCAACUUUGUCGCCAACAAGGUCACUCUGCAAAACGUUGUCCAACCUUUAGACACAUUCCUUGGUCUUCGAAUCCUCAGCCUCAAGCCCAUAUUGCUGCCCCACAAACCUACAUGACUACUCCUCCUGCACCCUCUGCCACCGAAUGGCUUUUAGACUCUGGUGCAUCUCAUCAUGUUACAACAGAUCUUCAUAACCUGUCACUACAUUCUGAACACCCGGUCUCUGAAAGUGUGCACAUUGGAGAUGGCACCGGUCUACCUAUUACUCAUAGUGGUUCCACCACCCUACCAUCUUCUUCUCAGUCUUUUGCUUUAAAUAAUGUUUUAUGUGUUCCAUCUAUGAAAAAGAAUUUAAUUUCUGUUUCUCAAUUCUGUUCUCAUAAUAACGUGUCUGUUGAAUUCUUACCAACUUCCUUUUAUGUGAAGGAUCUUCGCACGAGGGCACUACUUCUGCAAGGAACAGCUAGAAAUGGUGUUUAUGAGUGGCCACGUCCUUCCUCUGCAACUAAGCCUUUACUUGCCUUUUCAUCCAUCAAGGUUCCCAUUGAUCAAUGGCAUUAUCGCCUUGGUCACCCAUCCUCUAAUAUUCUGAGUCAUUUAGUUUCAAGUCAAACUUUACCGUUAUCAUCAUCGUCAACUGUCUUUGAUUUUCCUUGUAAUUCUUGUCACUGUAAUAAAACUCAUAAGUUACCAUUUUCUUCUUCCUCACUUAUAAGUUCUCAUCCUCUUGAAUUAUUAUAUUCUGAUGUUUGGACAUCUCCGGUUAUUUCUCAUGAUGGUUAUAAAUAUUAUGUUAUAUUUGUCGACCAUUUCACUCGAUAUAUUUGGCUAUAUACUCUUAAACAAAAAUCUGAUGUCCAUGACAUUUUUAUUCGCUUUAAAGCAUUAGUAGAAAAGUACUUUAACCGUUCUAUUAUUACACUUUACACGGAUAAUGGAGGAGAAUACACCUCUUUAAAAUCCUUUCUUGCUACUAAUGGCAUCUCUCACCUCACCACACCACCACACACCCCAGAACAUAAUGGCCUUUCCGAACGUCGUCACCGCCACAUAGUCGAAACUGGACUCACUUUGCUUCAUCAUGCCCACAUGCCUCUCACAUUUUGGCCACAUGCAUUUACUACUGCUACAUACCUCAUUAACCGUAUGCCAAAAGUUGCCUUCUCUAUGAAAACUUCCUUUGAAAAAUUAUUUGGCCAUCAACCAAAUUACUCCAAAUUAAAAGUAUUUGGUUGCCUUUGUUAUCCGUGGCUACGACCAUAUGGGUCUCACAAACUUUCUUCUCGAUCUCACCCUUGUGUCUUUCUCGGUUAUUCCUCCACCCAAAGUGCAUAUCAGUGUUAUGAUCCAACCUCACAAAAAAUAUAUGUUUCCCGUCACGUCACAUUUGUUGAGUCCAUUUUUCCAUUUUCUCAACAAUCUCUUCUCCUUUCACGCCCAACAGAUAUUACUUUCCACCAAUGGAUCCAAUCUUCUCCACCUUUGCCAAUUUCUGAAUCUGUUGCUCAUGCAAAUCAACCUUCGGCAUCACAUCCACCAAUUUCCAUAAAUUCUCACCUCCCAAAUUUUCACUACCUGCCAAAUCUCCCUUUGCCAAUAUAUAAAUCAAACAACCAAACUCCAAUAGUCUCUCAACCCCACUCAUUAAACUCUUCUUCACAAUUGUCAUUUUCUACUUCUCCUCAAGCUGAACCUUUAUCGACUGACAAUGAUGUGUCCACUUAUGAGCAUCAUCUCCUGCACAACUUGCAAGGUACAUCCUCUGUCGCACCUCUUUUAACCCCUUCCGCCUCUAUUCCUCCAAUCUUACAUAAACCAUCUCCUUCCUCUCAUCUACCAUCAACCACCAUCCACAACAAUCAUCCCAUGCAAACUAGAGCAAAGAACAAUAUCCAUAAACCACUUACCAAACUAAGCCUUGCUACUGUCCACACAUUCGCUUCCCCAACUGAACCAACCUCAGUCUCUGCCGCUCUUCAACAUCCUGCCUAGCGAGCAGCUAUGUCUGAUGAGUUUAAUGCACUUCUUCGUAAUGAGACUUGGACACUUGUUCCUUUUCACCCAUCUCAAAAUUUAGUGGGUUGUAAGUGGGUGUUUCGUAUCAAACGCAACUCUGAUGGCUCCAUAGAACGUUACAAGGCUCGCCUCGUUGCAAAAGGCUUUCACCAACGACCUGGCAUAGAUUAUCAUGAGACAUUUAGUCCUGUUAUCAAGCCAACAACUGUUUGACUUGUUCUUAGUCUUGCACUCUCCAAUGGCUGGUCUCUUAGACAACUAGAUGUCAAUAAUGCAUUUCUUCAUGGACACUUACUUGAAGAUGUCUAUAUGGCUCAACCCCCGGGCUUUGUUGAUAAGAGCAAUCCUACCCAUGUGUGCCAUCUUAAGAAGGCUCUUUAUGGUCUUAAACAGGCCCCCCGUGCUUGGUAUCAUGAACUACAACAAUUCUUAUUAUCCUAUGGGUUUGUCAAUUCUCUAUCAGAUCCCUCUUUAUUUAUUUAUAAACACCUGCAUCUCACCAUGUAUCUUUUAGUGUAUGUGGAUGACUUAAUUCUCACAGGUAGUGAUGACCGUCUUCUUAGCCAAUUCACACAACAACUUGCUGCCAAAUUUUCCAUUAAAGACCUUGGUGCCCUUUCAUACUUUCUUGGCGUCGAAAUAAUUCCAUCCAAAUCGGGUGUUCUACUCUCGCAGCAUAAAUAUAUACAUGAUCUACUGGAAAAGGCUGACAUGUUGCAUGCCAACAUUGUCCAUACACCUAUGUCUCCUAAUCAUAUGCCAAGUCUCCAUGAUGGUGUCUCCUUAUCAGAUGCAAAUACAUAUCGCUCCAUUGUUGGUGGCCUUCAAUAUUUAUCUCUUACUCGCCCAGAUGUUGCCUUUGCUGUCAAUAAGUUAUCUCAAUUUAUGCAUUGCCCAACCACUCAACACUGGGUUGCUGUCAAACGACUACUUCGAUAUCUUCGGGGUACUAUUCAUCAUGGAAUAUUUCUACAUCGUAACUCUCCUUUGCUACUUCAUGGCUUUUCCGAUGCAGAUUAGGCAGGCAACACUGAUGAUCGAACCUCCACCAGUGGUCACAUAGUCUUUCUUGGUCAUAAUGCCAUCUCUUGGAGUUCGAAGAAACAACGUUCUGUUGCUAGAUCCUCCACCGAAGCUGAAUACCGUUCAGUUGCUUCUAUCACUGCUGAAAUUACAUGGCUUCAAUCUCUGUUGAGUGAACUGGGGGUUCACUUGCCCACCAUACCCACUAUUUAUUGUGACAAUAUUGGGGCUACGUAUCUUUGUGCAAACCCGGUCUUUCACUCUCGCAUGAAACAUAUUGCCAUAGAUUUUCACUUCGUCAGGGAAAAAGUAAAGAAUGGCGACAUCCGAGUCUCUCAUGUGUCCUCUGCAGAUCAGUUAGCUGAUGCACUUACUAAGCCACUUCCUCGUCAACAGCUAGAUGCACUUCGAGUCAAGAUUGGCGUCCUUCCACGGGACACCAUCUUGAGGGGGCAUAUUAAGGAAUCAUUGUAGUCAACCUUUGCUUGAUUGUAUAUCAUCUAUUUUUGGUUGUAAAUAUUUUAUUCUUGGAUAGUUACAAUAUUCUAGAAAGCUAGCAAUAGGUGAAUUAUUUAUUUCCCUUUCUAUUAUUUAUUUCCUUUUCUAUACAAACAUGUAAACUGUAUAAAUUGUAAUUAUAUUGUUCAAUGAAUACUUGUCAAGCUAGUUUUCCCAAAUCUAUAUUAUUCUCUAAAACCUUUCAAGCACUAGGGCUUCUCCUUUUUUAAUUUUUCUAAUUAUAUUAAAUAAUUUCUAAAAAAAUUGAUAUUAAAAUAAAAAAUAUUCAGAUCCAGGUUCCGAAUUUAUGAGUUCACCUGAACCCAGAUCCAGACUCGGAAAUAUGCGGGUUCUCAAAAUUUCAUUCAGAUUCAAGAUGAAAAAUGAUUUGGUGCUGGUUGAAUCCGAACGGAAUUUUUUGGGGUUCAAUCCAAGUCCGGGUCGGAUCCGUAUUUGAGUGCCAUCCCUAACAUUGGUGAUGUUAUAUAAAAGAAUUAAGUGGGGAGCAUUAAUUUUUGAAUUUUAAUACUUUUGACCAGCACUUUGUGUUCACACUCGAGAAGUAAAUGAAAGAAGCUUUAAUGCUUUGUGUUAUCAAGUAAUCAAAGAAAUAGUCUUGUUAUGUUUUGAAAAGUGAUGACACUCUAAUUUAUCACCAAACAAAUAUGUUUGAUCUUUUAAAAAAAAAUAUUAUUCAAACAAAUUAUAAUUUUGAAUAUGAAUACAAUCAUGAUAAAGCUUAUGUUUUCAUGUCAAAAUGGCUUUGAUUGAAAAGGUUAUACCUUCCUAUACAUCUUUUCCAAGACGAAAUCUUAGGAGAUAUCAAUUAGAAAAUGUAUUAUGAUUACACAAAAUAUAUAAAUCAAAUAUGCUACAACCUCAAAUGAGCAAAGAAUCCAUUGCAUCCCUUCACUUCCUGAAUAACUCAAUUUUUUUUCAAACAAUAAAAACAAAAAAAAAUCUUUGGAUCUUUCCUAAAAAAUAAAUAAUAAAAAGAAAGAAUAGAGGAUGUGUAUUUUCAUAAUAGGAAUGGAGCAGUGAUGAUAGAAAAACUUAGAUGAUCAAAUUCAAAUUUUAACUUGGACUCAUUCAAACUUAUGCAAGGUUUAUUUUAUUUUAAGGCGGGCUCUUUCAGCUUAAGAUUUUGACUAAAAUUUAGGCAUAAAAUAUAAAUAAUUUAUUUAGUUCAAUACAAGAUCUAAGAAAAUUACUUAUAUGACAUCAAAAUCCUAUUAAAAAAGGACUAACGUUCAAGUGUCAUAUAAAGUGAGAGAAUAUCUUGAUAAUAGGAUUUAAUGGUUCAAAUCUAUUGAAUUUUGUCAAAUUCAAAUCUAAUCUAUCAUUUAUUAGAUUUUAUAUUUUGGAGUCAAUCCAAUCUAAUCUCUAAUUAAAAUCCAAUAUAAUUCAAACCAAUUAAAAGUUAAAUUCAAUUUAACCCAAUCUGAUCAAUUCAUUCAUCCGAUUAAAAAACAAAUUCACAAAUAAAAGUCUUCAAUUGUGCUUCAUACUCCUAAUUACUAACAAUUGAAAAGAAAAUGCAAAAUAUCAUCCCCUUUAAUAUUUCAUGAUUCAUGUAUUUUAUUACCAUAUAGCUGGAAAAAAAAAUCGAAUUUGAAUAUUGGAAGUAAACAUUAGUUGCAACUUUACAGUUUGUACUAUAUAUUAUUAUUUUAUAUUUAUAGUUAUAUAAAAUAAGGUUUUAUCUUUUCUAGCAAGUUAAAUAUAGAAGUGACAUGUAUUUUUUAAAAAUAAAUAAAUAAAUUAAAAAUUAAUUGGUUGGGUUUGUUUAUAGGAAAAUUAUCAAUCGUAUAUCUUUAGUUUACUCCGUAAUAAAUUAGAGUAAUGNNNNNNNNNNNNNNNNNNNNNNNNNNNNNNNNNNNNNNNNNNNNNNNNNNNNNNNNNNNNNNNNNNNNNNNNNNNNNNNNNNNNNNNNNNNNNNNNNNNNUAUAUUUUCAUUCAAUCAAUGAAUUAAUGUCACGUCAGUUUGUACAAAAUAAGUUUGUACAAGAGUUUGUGGCUGUAUCAUUACUCUUAAAUUUAAUACAACACUUUAUAGUAUAUCAAUCGUCCACUCUAAAUUGACAAAAUGUAUCUGCCGUCUACUAAAUCGUUAAUUGACGUUUAAAUAUGAUAACCUAAAAAAAUAAUUUAAUUUUUUUAUAUGAUAUAAAUAAUAAUUUAAGGAUAUAUAAGUUAUAAUAAAAAAUUUUAAGCAUAUACAAAUGAUAACUUUAAAGAGUAAAAUCGUCUAUUCGCUCUUUUAAACAGCAGCUAACAAAUCUAUCAACCAAUCCAAUAACAAUGAUUUUUUUUAUUUUACAGACCAAUAUAAUCCAACCAAAAAGUCAGUCCCAUAAAAACUAAAUUGGUUUAGAUCGUAUCUAUUGGUUUGAUUAGAGUUAAUUAGAUCUUGAGCACCCGUAGCGGUCGGUUUUCUGGUCGAGGGAGAACUCAGAGAUGCUCGAAAGGUAGACAAUGAAUCGAAAUUGUAAGCCCAAAAACAACUUUUUGUAAAUCUUAAUAUGCCCCUCAGCUCGUAGUUUUUUUUAUCUUGUUUUCAUAUAAUUUUAGUGUUAUAUGAAUGAUCGUCUCGGCCCUACGAUUGAACUAAAUAAAUAACCAAACUUUUGUUUCGAUGCCUUCAGUAGAGGAUUCAAGGGGAAUAGUUGAAUUUUUAUCGAUAAUAUUCUUAAUCUCUUGAUAGUUAUUCGGAAAGUACUUUGAAUUCUUUGCUUUCCUUUUGCCCACUUUCUGCAAGAAGCCCAAGCAUACCUGCAAAAUGGGGGACUAUUUUCUUAUUUGGCUAAAUAGUCUGUGUAAGUAUUUUCUUAACUUCAGGAAGUGUCACAAUUUCUAGUGAGUGUCUCGGGCCUGUUUGUCACUAGUUGUAGCAAAUGUUUAUCAUUUAGAAUUCAGGACAAGAUGAUUGCAGAAAAUAUAGAUAUUUUGGGUUUCUAAUGAGAGAAUUGUAUUAAUUCUGCAACAGGCCAUCCUCACUGUAAAGUAGCCUGCUUUAUCCCAUUUGUCUCUUUUUUGUCCCCCCACCCCUUAGUGGAGAACCUCUGCAUAAAUUAAAGGCAAAAGGAAAUAUAUAAUUUUAAUUUUUUUAUAGGAUUAAUUUAUUUAUUAUCUUUAACCAAUGUCUCCAUCCUAGAGCAUUUGAACAAUUCUAUAUAUGAGUGUCUUCGCUCUUUGCUUUCAAUUCAUAGAGACAAUGACCUCCAGUCUGCAGCAAAUUAUGGCUUCAACAGGAAAUGGACUUGAUUAUGACAAAGAACAAGAGUUGAAGACCUUUGAUGAUACAAAAGCUGGAGUUAAAGGUCUGGUUGAUUCUGGUAUACAGUCAGUUCCCAAGUUCUUUGUUGCAUCAUCUGAGGAAACUUGCAAUGAGAAGUCAGAUCUAAGGCACACCCACUUCAAUGUUCCAAUUAUAGACCUCAGGGACAUUGAUAAAGUUGGUGCUCGGUGUGAAAUAGUCAAAGAAAUUGGCAUUGCGUCCAGCACAUGGGGAUUCUUCCAGGUUGUGAACCAUGACAUUCCUCAAGAUAUUGCAGAUGAGGUUAUCGAAAGCAUACAAAGAUUCAAUGAGCAACCAAACCAUGUGAAAGAAAAAUUUUACUCCCGUGACAAAAUGAAGAAAGUGAGGUUCAAUAGUAAUUUUGAUUUAUAUAAGGCAAGAUUUGCUAAUUGGAGGGACACCUUGUCUUGUCUCAUGGCACCUAAUCCUCCACCUCCUGAAGAAUAUCCAGAGGCGUGCAGGUAUGCAUUCUGUGUUAUAAUUGUUAUGCUUAAUGAUGCACUUCAACAAUAUAUGUCUGUUCCUCUGCAGAGAGAUACUGUUGAAGUUUUCGAAAUAUGUUACAAAACUAGGUCAGGAUUUGUUCAAGUUACUUUCGGAGGCACUUGGCCUCAACUCUAAUCACCUAACGAACAUGGGUUGUGCUGAUGGACAUGUCUUUUACUGUCACUACUAUCCGGCCUGUCCUGAGCCAAACCUGACUCUUGGACAUACCAAACACCGUGAUCCAGAUUUUCUCACUAUCCUUCUGCAAAAUCAAAUUGGUGGUCUGCAAGUUCUUCAUGAUAAUCAUUGGGUUAAUAUUCCUCCGGUGGAAGGAGCUCUAGUAGUCAACGUUGGGGAACUCUUACAGGUGUGUAAAGUGCAGAGAGUUCAUUAUUUUUUGGCAUUGAGGGCAAAAAAAAGUUAAAUUAAUGUAAGGAUUGGUUGGUGAAUAGUCUUAACUGCAUUUAUGUUCUUAGUUGCUACUGCCUUAAUGAUGUCCCAAACUUUUGAACAUUUAGAAUACCUAGAUUUCCUUUAAGCCAUCAUUUGAUUAGUGGGAAACAGAAGAAUUAAAAAGUUCAAAGAUAUGACGAACCCUCGAAAGUUGGUUAAAUCAGUAGCCUCAACCACACCAAAUUGUUUCAUAUUGCUUAGUUUCUUUCAGUAGAAUUUCUUAUUUUCUUAGCUGCAAAUAAUAAAGAUGUUAACUUUUCAAACAUUGCACCUCUCAGCAGCUAUAGAGAGUCUAGUGGUAAUUCUGGUUGUGAAAAAGAGUAGAAGAUGAAGAAAAUGAACUGACUGCUUUGUAAAAUCAAUACUAUAUCUGUCAUUAUGUUAUCAUACGGAAUUGUUAAAGGUUUUGACUUUUGUUUUUUGGCAGGUUAUCUCUAAUGACAAGUUCAAGGCUGCCGAACACCAAGUGCUGGCUAAUUGUGCUGGACCUAGAUUGUCAGUGGCAUGCUUCUUCACAACACAUUUUGAGCCAUCCGAGAAGCUUUUUAGCCCCAUAGAGGAGUUGUUAUCAGAUGAUAGUCCUCCUUUGUAUAGGGGCACCACUGUAAAAGCCUACAUUGACUUCUU
rnacentral:lncRNA from 1 species